UGGCUCAGGACGAACGCUGGCGGCGUGCCUAACACAUGCAAGUCGAGCGGAGACAUUUGAGUAGCAAUACGAGGAUGUUUAGCGGCGGACGGGUGAGUAACGCGUGAGCAACCUGUCCCAAACAGGGGGAUAACGAACCGAAAGGUUCACUAAUACCGCAUAAGACCACGGAGUCACAUGGCUUUGAGGUCAAAGGAGAAAUCCGGUUUGGGGUGGGCUCGCGUCUGAUUAGCUAGUUGGUGAGGUAACGGCCCACCAAGGCGACGAUCAGUAGCCGACCUGAGAGGGUGAUCGGCCACAUUGGAACUGAGACACGGUCCAAACUCCUACGGGAGGCAGCAGUGGGGAAUAUUGGGCAAUGGGGGAAAAACCCCCUGACCCAGCAACGCCGCGUGAAGGAAGAAGGUUUUCGGAUCGUAAACUUCUAUCCUUGGUGAAAAUAAUGAUGGUAGCCAAGAAGGAAGCCCCGGCUAACUACGUGCCAGCAGCGGC
rnacentral:rRNA from 1 species